rnacentral:tRNA from 1 species
UGCGGGACCAAGCGGGGCGGCAGGCGCGGCACUCAUAAUGCCGGGGUCAGCGGUUCAAGUCCGCUCGCCGCUACCA